rnacentral:rRNA from 1 species
UACGUAGGGUGCAAGCGUUGUCCGGAAUUAUUGGGCGUAAAGAGCUUGUAGGCGGUUUGUCGCGUCUGCUGUGAAAUUUCGGGGCUCAACCCCGAACUUGCAGUGGGUACGGGCAGACUAGAGUGUGGUAGGGCAGACUGGAAUUCCUGGUGUAGCGGUGAAAUGCGUAGAUAUCAGGAGGAACACCGAUGGCGAAGGCAGGUCUCUGGGCCAUAACUGACGCUGAGAAGCGAAAGCAUGGGGAGCGAACAGG